ACUUACUCGUUGGGGUGCCACGGGCGACCGUGGCUGAGAGGCGAUAGCCAACCCAUCGAACCUGAUCCGGUUAGCACCGGCGGAGGGAACGGGUAGCGCUCUGAU
rnacentral:ncRNA from 2 species